GACGAACGCUGGCGGCGUGCCUAAUACAUGCAAGUCGAACGCUUCUUUCCUCCUGAGUGCUUGCCCUCCCUUGGAACGAGGGGUUGAGGCCGGGUGAGUAACCCGUGGGUAGCCUACCCAUCCGAGAGGGAUAAGCCUCGAACACAGGCGCUCUUACCGCAUAACAGUUUAUUCCGCAUGGCACAAGAGUGCAAGGCACCCUCGGGUGUCGCUGCUGGCUGGACCCGCGAUGCAUUAGCUAGGUGGUGAGGUAACGGCUCACCAAGGCCACGAUGCAUAGCCGGCCUGAGAGGGUGAUCAGCCACACUGGGACUGAGACACGGCCCAGACUCCUACGGGAGGCAGCAGUAGGGAAUCUUCGACAAUGGACGAAAGUCUGACCGAGCAACGCCGCGUGAGUGAAGAAGGUUUUCGGAUCGUAAAACUCUGUUGUUAGAGAAGAACAAGGACAUUAGUAACUGAACGUCUCCUGACGGUAGCUAAACAGAAAGCCACGGCUAACUACGUG
rnacentral:rRNA from 1 species